UAGGGAAUCUUCCACAAUGGGCGCAAGCCUGAUGGAGCAACACCGCGUGAGUGAAGAAGGGUUUCGGCUCGUAAAGCUCUGUUGUUAAGAAGAACACGUAUGAGAGUAACUGUUCAUACGUUGACGGUAUUUAACCAGAAAGUCACGGCUAACUACGUGCCAG
rnacentral:rRNA from 1 species